rnacentral:rRNA from 1 species
GCUUGUCUCAAAGAUUAAGCCAUGCAUGUCUAAGUAUAAACAUCUUUAUACUGUGAAACUGCGUACAGCUCAUUAUAUCAGUAAUUAUUUAUUUGAUGGUCACUUACUACAUGGAUAACCGUAGUAAUUCUAGAGCUAAUACAUGCGUAAAAUCCCGACUCUCGCGGGGAGGGAUGUAUUUAUUAGUUAAAAAGCCAAUGCGGGUUCUGCCCGGUUUUGUGGUGAAUCAUAGUAACUGUUCGAAUCGCAUGGCUUCACGCCGGCGAUAGUUCAUUCAAAUUUCUGCCCUAUCAGCUUUCGACGGUAGUGUAGUGGACUACCGUGGCGUUAACGGGUAACGGAGAAUUAGGGUUCGGUUCCGGAGAGGGAGCCUGAGAAACGGCUACCACAUCCAAGGAAGGCAGCAGG